GGUAACCAUCUAGUCUAGCCAAAAUGGUUCUAGUUCCGUGAAAAGGCCCUGCCUCAAGGCACAAUGGCAUAGAACAACAUAGUCAUCCUAUGUUUUCUCUGGCCUCUGCAUGCUUGUGUACUGGCAUGCACUUAUGUGCAUGGACCACAACACACACAAAAUAGGUAGGGUCCUACUGUGUAGCUGAGGCUCCAGCUCAAACUCACCACCUCUGUUUCCCCGGUCCAGGAGUGACAGCAUUCUCAAAGAAGGAAGGAAGGAAGGAAGAAAAGAAAAAAGAAAGACAGACACAGACAAACAGAAGUAGGGGUCUGUCAGGAUGACUCCUGAGGUUAAGGUUCUUGUCAGUGAGCCUGACUGAUGAGAUGACCUGAAUCUGAUCUUCAGGACCUAUAUGUUUUCUAGGUAAAACUAAGUGCAAGUGUUCCUCUGACCUCCAUGUGUGCACACUCCCCACCCCAAUUUAAUUCAGUUCUUUUGAGUGGAGUGUGAAGUCUGCAGUGUUCACUGUUGAGGCCAAGACUGGCCAUGCGUAAGCUACUGCAGGCCUUAGUGGUCAUUGCCUAGUAAUGUCUUUAAGGGACUCCAGUUCAGAUUAGACGAGCAUUCAGGAUGUUGAUGACACUACACAUUGUAGACUCUGCUUUCUUAGUUUAGGGUUAGGGGCUUAGAGGUACUGUGCACCAAACUAGGGAGCGAAUCCUACACCAAGUCACCACCUCUUUGCAUACUAGUUUAGGCAAAGAAUUUAACCUUAUGAUUGCUUUAUAAUGCUUUUAACUUGGGUGACAGACAAUUCAUUUUUUCAUGACAUAGCCUAUUCAAAAAUACCCUCUUUUAUUUUUAAUGAAAGACAGACAGAUGCUGUUCCUACAAUUUCUUUCUGUCCCCUAGGGCAUAACAGAUAGGACUGGUUUUUUUAUCCAUUUAUUUGUAAAGUAUUUAUUCCCUGCA